GAUGGAUAGCUCAGCUGCUAGAGCAUGAUACUUUCAAUCUCAGGGUCGUGGGUUGGAGCCCCACCUUGGGCA